UACGAAGGGGGCUAGCGUUGCUCGGAAUCACUGGGCGUAAAGGGUGCGUAGGCGGGUCUUUAAGUCAGGGGUGAAAUCCUGGAGCUCAACUCCAGAACUGCCUUUGAUACUGAGGAUCUUGAGUUCGGGAGAGGUGAGUGGAACUGCGAGUGUAGAGGUGAAAUUCGUAGAUAUUCGCAAGAACACCAGUGGCGAAGGCGGCUCACUGGCCCGAUACUGACGCUGAGGCACGAAAGCGUGGGGGAGCAAACAGGG
rnacentral:rRNA from 1 species